AGAGUUUGAUCCUGGCUCAGGAUGAACGCUGGCGGCGUGCCUAAUACAUGCAAGUCGAGCGAACGGACGAGAAGCUUGCUUCUCUGAUGUUAGCGGCGGACGGGUGAGUAACACGUGGAUAACCUACCUAUAAGACUGGGAUAACUUCGGGAAACCGGAGCUAAUACCGGAUAAUAUUUUGAACCGCAUGGUUCAAAAGUAAAAGACGGUCUUGCUGUCACUUAUAGAUGGAUCCGCGCUGCAUUAGCUAGUUGGUAAGGUAACGGCUUACCAAGGCAACGAUGCAUAGCCGACCUGAGAGGGUGAUCGGCCACACUGGAACUGAGACACGGUCCAGACUCCUACGGGAGGCAGCAGUAGGGAAUCUUCCGCAAUGGGCGAAAGCCUGACGGAGCAACGCCGCGUGAGUGAUGAAGGUCUUCGGAUCGUAAAACUCUGUUAUUAGGGAAGAACAUAUGUGUAAGUAACUGUGCACAUCUUGACGGUACCUAAUCAGAAAGCCACGGCUAACUACGUGCCAGCAGCCGCGGUAAUACGUAGGUGGCAAGCGUUAUCCGGAAUUAUUGGGCGUAAAGCGCGCGUAGGCGGUUUUUUAAGUCUGAUGUGAAAGCCCACGGCUCAACCGUGGAGGGUCAUUGGAAACUGGAAAACUUGAGUGCAGAAGAGGAAAGUGGAAUUCCAUGUGUAGCGGUGAAAUGCGCAGAGAUAUGGAGGAACACCAGUGGCGAAGGCGACUUUCUGGUCUGUAACUGACGCUGAUGUGCGAAAGCGUGGGGAUCAAACAGGAUUAGAUACCCUGGUAGUCCACGCCGUAAACGAUGAGUGCUAAGUGUUAGGGGGUUUCCGCCCCUUAGUGCUGCAGCUAACGCAUUAAGCACUCCGCCUGGGGAGUACGACCGCAAGGUUGAAACUCAAAGGAAUUGACGGGGACCCGCACAAGCGGUGGAGCAUGUGGUUUAAUUCGAAGCAACGCGAAGAACCUUACCAAAUCUUGACAUCCUUUGACAACUCUAGAGAUAGAGCCUUCCUCUUCGGGGGACAAAGUGACAGGUGGUGCAUGGUUGUCGUCAGCUCGUGUCGUGAGAUGUUGGGUUAAGUCCCGCAACGAGCGCAACCCUUAAGCUUAGUUGCCAUCAUUAAGUUGGACACUCUAAGUUGACUGCCGGUGACAAACCGGAGGAAGGUGGGGAUGACGUCAAAUCAUCAUGCCCCUUAUGAUUUGGGCUACACACGUGCUACAAUGGACAAUACAAAGGGCAGCGAAACCGCGAGGUCAAGCAAAUCCCAUAAAGUUGUUCUCAGUUCGGAUUGUAGUCUGCAACUCGACUACAUGAAGCUGGAAUCGCUAGUAAUCGUAGAUCAGCAUGCUACGGUGAAUACGUUCCCGGGUCUUGUACACACCGCCCGUCACACCACGAGAGUUUGUAACACCCGAAGCCGGUGGAGUAACCUUUUAGGAGCUAGCCGUCGAAGGUGGGACAAAUGAUUGGGGUGAAGUCGUAACAAGGUAGCCGUAUCGGAAGGUGCGGCUGGAUCACCU
rnacentral:rRNA from 1 species